rnacentral:rRNA from 1 species
AUGGAAGCUUCGGAAGGCAGAUUCUUCAAAUUAGAGCACUGUUGGGAGUUGCUCCAAAAGUGCGAUAAGUGGAAGUUGAUCGACAGAGAAUCCCCAACAAAGAGAGGCUCACUUGUAAACAUGGAUGAAGAUGAAGACGAUGAUGGCCCAAGAAAUUUGCACAAGCCCGAUGGCGACAAGAAGACUAGAGAAAAGAUCAAGAGAGAGCAAGAAGCAUUGAGCUUGAGGGAGAAGAUUGAUGCCAUGGUGCAAUCAGACGAGUUGAUGUUGUUGAAGUCGUUGGAGAUCAAGAAAGAGUUGGACGAGAAGAAGGCAAAAGAGAAGCAAGAAAAAUGGCAAAUGCUCAAGGAAGAGGGGCUCCGCAAAGCUGCCAUUGAGGAGAGAAAAGCACGCGCCUCCGAAAACAAAUCGAUGUCAUUGUUACUCGCCGAAGAGAACAAGAUCAUGUCAAUGAACCGCAAUGACAUGGACGACCUCACCAAAACAUGGCAUGAUAUGGCAAGGAGAGAGAUCUUGAAGAGAAGAAUGGUAGCCUCGGUCGGUCCGUGUUCCAGUUCCGGUGAUGUUUUCUCUACUCCAUAUGGUGGUAAUGUGUAUGAUUUCGGUGCGGGAGUUGGAACAAGCGACGGAGGUGGAUUCGGUGGCGCCUAUGAACUUCAAUAUGGACUCCAUGGCGCGAAGUGA